rnacentral:rRNA from 1 species
AGUGAACGCUGGCGGUAGGCCUAACACAUGCAAGUCGAACGGCAGCACAGUAAGAGCUUGCUCUUACGGGUGGCGAGUGGCGGACGGGUGAGGAAUACAUCGGAAUCUACUUUUUCGUGGGGGAUAACGUAGGGAAACUUACGCUAAUACCGCAUACGACCUACGGGUGAAAGCAGGGGAUCUUCGGACCUUGCGCGGUUGAAUGAGCGGAGGUCGGAUUAGCUAGUUGGCGGGGUAAAGGCCCACCAAGGCGACGAUCCGUAGCCGGUCUGAGAGGAGGAUCAGCCACACUGGAACUGAGACACGGUCCAGAGUCCUACGGGAGGCAGCAGUGGGGAAUGGUGGACAAUGGUCGCAAGCCUGAUCCAGCCAUCCCGCGUGGGUGAAGAAGACCUUCGGGUUGUAAAGCCCUUUUGUUGGGAAAGAAAAGCAGCAGGUUAAUACCCCGCUGUUCUGACGGUACCCAAAGAAUAAGCACCGGCUAACUUCGUG